rnacentral:rRNA from 1 species
UGGGGAAUUUUGGACAAUGGGCGAAAGCCUGAUCCAGCAAUGCCGCGUGUGUGAAGAAGGCCUUCGGGUUGUAAAGCACUUUUGUCCGGAAAGAAAUCCUUGGCUCUAAUACAGUCGGGGGAUGACGGUACCGGAAGAAUAAGCACCGGCUAACUACGUGCCAGCAGCCGCGGUAAUACGUAGGGUGCAAGCGUUAAUCGGAAUUACUGGGCGUAAAGCGUGCGCAGGCGGUUUGCUAAGACCGAUGUGAAAUCCCCGGGCUCAACCUGGGAACUGCAUUGGUGACUGGCAGGCUAGAGUAUGGCAGAGGGGGGUAGAAUUCCACGUGUAGCAGUGAAAUGCGUAGAGAUGUGGAGGAAUACCGAUGGCGAAGGCAGCCCCCUGGGCCAAUACUGACGCUCAUGCACGAAAGCGUGGGGAGCAAACAGGAUUAGAUACCCUGGUAGUCCACGCCCUAAACGAUGUCAACUAGUUGUUGGGGAUUCAUUUCCUAGUAACGUAGCUAACGCGUGAAGUUGACCGCCUGGGGAGUACGGUCGCAAGAUUAAAACUUAAGGAAUUGACGGGGUCAUAGCUGUUUCCU